UCCCUGGAGGACUAGUGGUUAGGCCACAGUGCUCUCACCGCUGCUGCCCAGGUUUGAUUCCCAGCAAGGGGA